UAGGGAAUAUUGGACAAUGGGCGCAAGCCUGAUCCAGCCAUGCCGCGUGAGUGAAGAAGGCCUUCGGGUUGUAAAGCUCUUUUGUCCGGAAAGAAAAGCAUCCAGUUAAUACCUGGGUGUCCUGACGGUACCGGAAGAAUAAGCACCGGCUAACUUCGUGCCAGCAGCCGCGGUAAUACGAAGGGUGCAAGCGUUACUCGGAAUUACUGGGCGUAAAGCGUGCGUAGGUGGUUUGUUAAGUCUGAUGUGA
rnacentral:rRNA from 1 species